UUGACUUUUGAAGAAUGUAGGAGGUUCACAACACAGAGGCUUUGGAGACACAGAGAUGUUUAAGAUGUGGGAACUGUCUUCAAGGAGACAACAUUCAAAAUAUUCAUGAGACUGGAAAUCAUUUGAUGGCAGGAAUUUUGUCUUCGUCUGUUCGUCCCAGAUUUGCCAUUGCAAAAAUGCUCCUUGAGCGAAAGUACUGGGUAGGAGGAAAGGACACAAGGAGGAAAUAUCUGUAUCAGUGACUUAAACGGGCAUCACAGAAUCUGUUUUAGCAGAACUGUCAGGGAAAAGAGAAAGUCUCCAGACAGACAAGGCAGGGCAGGCCAUUUCAGAAAGAGAAAUUAAUAUGUACAUAGUACUUGGAGAACUGUCAAGGAGCUUCAUGAAAGAAGACGUGGAAGGCCAUGCUGGCAGCAAGGUGGAGAAAUGUUUCCACGUAGAGACAGAGUCAAGACGAUGGUUCAGGAAACUGGUGCAUUAGUCCAGCCCCCACAUGUUGGGGAUUUCUGCAGCUGCCUUGAACUCCGCUGUAGGGAGUCUUUUUGGAGGAAAUGGUUUUCGUGAGAGGCCUUGGGGAUUUGUCAGUUUCCAUGAACACUUGGCAGGCCUCAAGGCAUCUGGCCUGUGACAUGGAGAUUGCUCUCAAAAGACUCACAUUUCAAAUAUCUUUGUUGAAGAAAGACUGGAAGGCUCAAUCUAGAUCGUUGGGCUCCUGUGAAAAUGAAGAUGAUGGGUUCAUGGAACCCAGGGAGGCAGCAGGAAGUCCUCACCUGAUAAACAGGGAGGAGCGAGGGUAAUGGUAGGUUUAUAUCUCUCCAACUUAACUGCAACCUGUAGAUAAAGCUAACUCUUUUAGCUUUGCUGCAGCUAGCCCAAGAGGUUACUUAAAAAAAAAAAAAAAGCACACCAAAUUAUUGAGGUAUAAGUCCCAUUUCAUACA